CUACGGGAGGCAGCAGCAAGGAAUAUUGCGCAAUGGGCGAAAGCCUGACGCAGCAACACCGCGUGGAGGAUGAAGGCCUUCGGGUUGUAAACUCCUUUUCUAAGGGAAGAAAAAGGACGGUACCUUAGGAAUAAGGCCCGGCUAACUACGUGCCAGCAGCCGCGGUAAAACGUAGGGGUCGAGCGUUAUCCGGAUUUACUGGGCGUAAAGAGCAUGUAGGCGGCGAUUUAAGUCGGACGUGAAAGCUCCCGGCUCAACUGGGAGAGGUCGUUCGAAACUAGAUUGCUCGAGGAUGGUAGAGGUAAGUGGAAUUCUAGGUGUAGUGGUGAAAUGCGUAGAUAUCUAGAGGAACACCAGUGGCGAAGGCGGCUUACUGGGCCAUUCCUGACGCUGAGAUGCGAAAGCUAGGGGAGAGAACGGGAUUAGAAACCCCUGUAGUCC
rnacentral:rRNA from 1 species